UUUUUUUUUUUUUUGGAAACAAAAUUUUAAAGUCGAAUUAAACCAAGACUAUAUUAAUUCGAUAAACCAUCUACAUUUUAGACUACUGUCAGCUUGAUAUAUUCUGAAACGAAUCGGUCAACUCACCAACCCGGGAGAGAACACACCUUCAACCUUUGUUUGGAAUGUUCACACUAUAAACUUCAGUGCUGCUACCACGAAAUUCUCUAAUAGUUAUCGUCAUUGUUGCUGCUGGUGUUUCUAUUUUUUACUGUCUUCGAUGAUUAAUGUUUUUAUCACCGCUUAGAGUUCAUUCAGUCAUUGCCAGAAGCUUAAUCUGAAUGCCAUCGUCAACUGAUGGCAUCACAUUAUUUUUGCACCAGCCAUUACAACUAAAAGUGAAGAACACUACUUUGGAAGACCGCCUCGAAUUCAAAAUACAAAGAAGAAAAGUUGUAACAUCAAAGAGGUGGGUGUUAUACUUGCCAGCCAAAAAAUAAUGAGAAUGAAGAUGAUGGCACUCGCCAUUAUACAAACGCCGAAACAAAGACAGCACUGAUAUAAACUUAUUGGAUGUGUGUGUCCUCCCAGAAGCCGGAAAUUUCAUUAUUAUACCGGAAAGGAAAUAUGAAAAGCUCUUUGGUGAUAUCGAUGGUUAUCUUGAAUGAUAAUUUGCGGUAUGUGUUCUUGGAGGGCGGCUUUGGCGAGACGACAAACGUACAACAAAUGUGAAAAGUUUAAGUUUUGAAAACCAUAAAAUAAUUAACACUUGAUUAUUAUUCAGGGAAUUUUCAACACUUUUAUAGAAUGACUAACGACUUACAUGAUUAAAAUAAUUUGGCGCAAGGUUUCUGAAAGACACAUUAAUAAAGAAUGUAUGUAAGGGAACUUUUAAGCAUAGAAGAAGGAGAUACUCAAAUUGAGUUUGGCGUAAAGUUUAAUCAUAAAUACGAGGGUAGCUCUUAGAACUGAUUUUAUGAGUAUAGGAAUUGGAGUAAUUCCAAAGGCUGUCUAUUAUCAAUCCAAACCACAAUAUUUCGCGCAAAUCCGCAAAUGAAAAUAGUAUUCAGAAUUGUUGGAACCGAGUAAUGGGAGAUGUUUGAAGCUGAUCUUUAUCACAUCGGCUUAAAAUAGUAAUCGGCAUUGGAGGAACCGUUUAAUGGAAAAAUUUGGAAUCUGAAAUUCAUCGAAUCCGGCCGUUUUCAUAUGAAUGGGCAACAAUAGCAUGGAGAUUGUGACCCUAAUUUGUUAUGACGCAGAAACAUUCGGAAUAGUUUUUUUUAGGUAAAAAGUGCAUAACUUUUGAACAGAAAAAUACCCUCUCAAAAUUUAUCAUUAAGUAGGCUGCCAUUUCAGGACAAUAUGUAGGAAUUAAAAUCAUGAGAGCUAUAGCUGCUUCUGUUGACCUGUCAAAUAUCUCUUUAACCUCGUCUUGGGAAGUUUCCUUCCACUUAUUGCGCAAAUUCUGGAAGUCAUCUUUUUAACCAAUUAAAAACGAACUUAUACCGAUGGUAUAAUAAAUGUAAGGUAAGACAAGUUUGAGAAAGUUGUGAGAAAAGAGUCUAACUGCAUGGAUUGUACUCUCAGAAUUACUAAAAAUACUAGUACAGCAAAUAAGAAAACGCUUCAGUCGGGCGGGACCUACAAAUUGAUACCUUAAAACACUACUUUUGCUGUAGAAUAAACGAUUCCCUCAAGCU